rnacentral:rRNA from 1 species
UACGUAGGGUCCGAGCGUUGUCCGGAAUUAUUGGGCGUAAAGGGCUCGUAGGCGGUCUGUCACGUCGAAAGUGAAAACUCAGGGCUCAACCCUGAGCCUGCUUCCGAUACGGGCAGACUAGAGGUAUGCAGGGGAGAAUGGAAUUCCUGGUGUAGCGGUGAAAUGCGCAGAUAUCAGGAGGAACACCAGUGGCGAAGGCGGUUCUCUGGGCAUUACCUGACGCUGAGGAGCGAAAGUGUGGGGAGCGAACAGG